UACGAAGGGUGCGAGCGUUGUUCGGAAUUACUGGGCGUAAAGGGUUUGUAGGCUGAAAUGUAAGUCAAGUGUGAAAUCCCCGAGCUAAACUUGGGACGUGCAUUUGAAACUGUGUUUCUUGAGUAUCGUAGAGGGUGGUGGAAUUGUAGGUGUAGGAGUGACAUCCGUAGAGAUCUGCAGGAACAGCAGAGGCGAAGGCGACCACCUGGCCGAUUACUGACGCUGAGAAACGAAAGCGUGGGGAGCAAACAGG
rnacentral:rRNA from 1 species